AUGCCACUUCUGGAAGCAGUCAUCUUCUCCUGUCCCUGGGCCUUUGGCCUCGGGCAGCUGAAGUUGGAGCAACCUGAAAUAUCAAUUUCCAGAGCAAGAUAUAAGAGUGCCCACAUAUUAUGCAAGGUGUCCACUAAGGACUUUACCAAUGCAGUCAUACACUGGUACCGGCAGAAACCACAUCAAGAGAUAGAACAUCUAACAUAUGUCUUGUCAAGCUAUACUCAAGUUUCUUUAGGUGGGAAGAAAAACAAACUUGAAGCAACUAAAAAUGCUAUUACUUCUACUUCAACCUUGAAGGUAAAUUUCUUAGAGCAAGAAGAUGAGGCCAUGUACUACUGUGCCUGCUGGUUUGGAUCCACAGCAGUCUGGGUCAAAAGAUUUGCAAAAGGAACUAAGCUCAUAGUAACACCCCCAGAUAGAAACCUUGAUGCAGCCAUUUUCCCCAAGCCUACAAUAUUUUUUCCUUCAAUUGCUGAAAGAAGACUCCAUAAGUCUGGAACAUAUCUUUGUCUCCUUGAGGAUUUUUUCCCUGAUGUUAUCAAGAUAGAUUGGAAAGAAAAGGAUGAUGAAACAAUUCUGACAUCCCAGCAGGGAGACACCAUGAAGACUAAUGACACAUACAUGAAAUUCAGCUGGCUGACUGUGACUGAAGUGUCAAUGGAUAAAGAACACAAAUGUAUCGUCAAACAUGAGAUGAAUAAAGGAAAGGCUGUUCAAGAGAUUCUAUUUUCUUCCCAUAUAAAAGAGCUCUCUGCUAUUACAUCUAGAAAAGCCUCCCUGAAAGAUGAAACUGACACCCUACAGGUGCAGCUCAUGAACACCUCUGCCUACUACACCUACCUUCUCCUCCUCUUCAAGAACCUGAUCUACUUUGCCAUCAUUCUCUUCUAUCUGCUUGGGAUACCAGCACUCUGUGGCAAUGAGAAGAGCUCCUAGCACAUGGUGGCAUCACGUGUCCACUUGUCUUCAUUGGCUAUUGUUGCCUAAAGCAUCAUCUGAGUAUAUAAUGGGGCAUUCUGGGUUUGGGUUAUUUCAGUUCACAUAUGUCUUUCUAUUGUGUCAUUAUUGCAGAAUGAUUUUACAAACAAUUGGGCAAGCAGAAAAGUUCACUCUGCAGCAAGAACAACUUCUGCCAUGACUUAAGUGUAGGGUCAGGGGGUUAUCCACAGGGGCUUCAACACUGCUCUCUCCUUAAUGCCUGCCAGCUCCUCAGAGCCACCUGUGCCUCUGAGUUUAGCCAACACAGAGCUUCUAGGUACAUCUCCUGGGGCCCUUUAACCAGAUAAUUGCUUCAAAACCUUUUAUUUU